rnacentral:misc_RNA from 1 species
GGAGAGGUUUACUGUCGACUUGAAUAAGCCUCUUGUUUUUCAGGUUGGCCAUCUUGAGGAAUCUUAUCAGGAAUGGGUUCACCAACCCAUUGUAAGCAAGGAAGGCCCCCGUUUCUUUGAAAAUAAUGUCCUGGAGUUUUUAACCCGAACAGUCUGGUGGGCAGUCCCAGUCAUAUGGCUUCCAGUUGUGUGCUGGUUUGCAAUCAUGUCUAUCGAUAUGGGCCACUCUUUGCCUCAGGUGGCUAUUAUGAUCAUGAGCGGCAUAUCC